rnacentral:lncRNA from 1 species
CACACGAUAAUUUGAGUGGGGUGGCAUUUAUUUUUGGGUGUGGCUUUUAGUGGGUGCAGAGGAGUCCUUCUCCACUUAAAAUUAUUUCAAGUUGGAUAGGAAACCAAUUAAGAUAGACCCAAUCCCAUUAGGUCAAAGACAACUGGUCUAGGUUAGCUCAAACACUUUGAUCUAAACCAAUUUAGGAACUUGAGUUAAUACAAUGUGUUAGCAUAUCUAAUUAACUUAUAA